rnacentral:rRNA from 1 species
GAUGAACGCUGGCGGCGUGCCUAAUACAUGCAAGUCGAGCGAAUGGAUUAAGAGCUUGCUCUUAUGAAGUUAGCGGCGGACGGGUGAGUAACACGUGGGUAACCUGCCCAUAAGACUGGGAUAACUCCGGGAAACCGGGGCUAAUACCGGAUAACAUUUUGAACCGCAUGGUUCGAAAUUGAAAGGCGGCUUCGGCUGUCACUUAUGGAUGGACCCGCGUCGCAUUAGCUAGUUGGGGAGGUAACGGCUCACCAAGGCAACGAUGCGUAGCCGAGCUGAGAGGGUGCUCGGCCACACUGGGACUGAGACACGGCCCAAACUCCUGCGGGAGGCAGCAGUAGGGAAUCUUCCGCAAUGGACGAAAGUCUGACGGAGCAACGCCGCGUGAGUGAUGAAGGCUUUCGGGUCGUAAAACUCUGUUGUUAGGGAAGAACAAGUGCUAGUUGAAUAAGCUGGCACCUUGACGGUACCUAACCAGAAAGCCACGGCUAACUACGUGCCAGCCGCCGCGGUAA